UAACCUGCCCAAGAGAUCGGGAUAACACCUGGAAACAGAUGCUAAUACCGGAUAACAACAGAUGAUGCCUAUCAACUGUUUAAAAGAUGGUUCUGCUAUCACUCUUGGAUGGACCUGCGGUGCAUUAGCUAGUUGGUAGGGUAACGGCCUACCAAGGCGAUGAUGCAUAGCCGAGUUGAGAGACUGAUCGGCCACAUUGGGACUGAGACACGGCCCAAACUCCUACGGGAGGCAGCAGCG
rnacentral:rRNA from 1 species